UUUUUAUUGUACUAAGCACAGACAUCUCCGU
rnacentral:piRNA from 1 species